rnacentral:rRNA from 1 species
GACAGAGGUGCCGAGCGUUAGGCGGAAUCACUGGGCUUAAAGCGUGUGUAGGCGGACUGAUAAGUACCUUGUGAAAUCCCACGGCUUAACCGUGGAACUGCUUGGUAUACUGUCGGUCUUGAGCCAGCUAGAGGUUACCGGAACAAAUGGUGGAGCGGUGAAAUGCGUAGAUAUCCACAGGAACUCCGGUGGCGAAAGCGGCGUGCUGGACCUCUUCUGACGCUGAGGCGCGAAAGCUAGGGGAGCAAACGGG